GACGAACGCUGGCGGCGUGCUUAACACAUGCAAGUCGAACGGUAAGGCCCUUCGGGGUACGCGAGUGGCGAACGGGUGAGUAACACGUGGGUGAUCUGCCCUGCACUUCGGGAUAAGCCUGGGAAACUGGGUCUAACACCGGAUAGGACCACUGCCUGCAUGGGUGGUGGUGGAAAGCUUUUGCGGUGUGGGAUGGGCCCGCGGCCUAUCAGCUUGUUGGUGGGGUGAUGGCCUACCAAGGCGACGACGGGUAGCCGGCCUGAGAGGGUGACCGGCCACACUGGGACUGAGAUACUGCCCAGACUCCUACGGGAGGCAGCAGUGGGGAAUAUUGCACAAUGGGCGCAAGCCUGAUGCAGCGACGCCGCGUGAGGGAUGACGGCCUUCGGGUUGUAAACCUCUUUCAGCACCGACGAAGCGCAAGUGACGGUAGGUGCAGAAGAAGGACCGGCCAACUACGUGCCAGCAGCCGCAGUAA
rnacentral:rRNA from 1 species